CAAAUAUCUUUUCAAAUACUGGAGAGCACAAUGCUUUCAAGCUCUUCAGUGAAGCUGAUUUUUGUUUUUGUUUUUAUUGAUUUAUUUUGUAUUUUUGUAUUUAUUUACAGACAAUUACUUUGACUUUAGAGCUGGACUACAAUCAAAUUGCAAAAGAUUCUCAACGAUGAUCAGUGGAUUUCAGAUGAAUUAGAGCUUUGGAGUGUCACAGAGCAAAAGCUGAAGUUACAUGCCGCCACCGGAUGCAGGACUUGUGCUCAUCCAGGAAGAAGAACCGGACCAGGCCUUUCUUCUUCCCCUUCAGUUUGGUCAUCUGGGU